UGUCCAGGGGCGGGAAUCGAACCCACAACCUUCUGCUUACCGGGCAGGUGCCAUGUCCUUUAGGCUACUCUGGAC